AGACACGCGCUUUCAACCGGCGGAGACACUGGCAGCUGAUCCAUAUGAAUUCCUCUUAUUAAGAAAAAUAAAGCAUCCAGGAUUCAAUGAAGAACUGACUAUCACCUUGUUAAUCAUUCAGAAACAUGUUGCAGGCUUAAGCCAUUUUUGAUAUAGAUACUGAAACAAUUACUUGCUAAGAGCAAACUUGAAGGUAUGGAUAAGGCCCUGAGUCAUCUUCCUGAGCUGAAUGAUAGUUAAGCUGAAUCUCUGCUGCCCCCUGCCCCAUACACGUGAUGGAGCAGAAAACGUGCUGUGUGAACCUGUGACUUCAGGGCCUGUUGACGUGGUCGUGCUUGCAUACUCUCUGGACUGGACCUCACUGUGGGAACAACAAGAUCAACAAGAGGAGCAAGAACAACAUCAAGAGUCAGGGCCCGGGGGUCCUGACGGGUACAGGAUGGGUACAGACCCACACAGGAAUCCCAGAGUGUGUUCCACAGCAGGACACGCCUGCGCUGAAAGAGUGGGCAGAAAGGAGCUGACCUGGGAUUAUGAUCCAAACUCAGCUGGGCCUCCCCUCCCUGCCCCAGGAUUGUGGAGUGAGAACGUUGCAGCAGGAGAGAACAACGCAGCAAAGCACAGCAGGGGAACCGGAAAUGCUCACCUUUUGACAGGGUACUUUUAGUUCUGGGGCCUUAUCUUAAGGAUAUUCCAACAUAUACAAAAAGAUUCAUGCACAGAGAUAUGUACUUUAGUAUUAUUUACCAUAGGAAAAAAGUUGGAAACAAUACAUUUUAUGUUCUGUAAAAUGAAAGAACAGUUAAAUAAAUCAUGGCUCUAAGACGACUCCAGGGCUGUGUACGGAAGUUCAGGGACAGAAUCAGUUGAGGCUGUUCCACCUGAGCCUAAGCUUCCUCUGCUGUAUGUCGGGAAUCAGGUGGGGGCCAAGCGAGAUCACCACAGUGCAGGCCAGUGUGCAGGGCACAGGUGGGCACCAGGGAGGGGACGCCGCACAGCCCCAUGCUCUCGCCAAAAACGUGCAGCACAAUUUGGAAGAAAACAUUUCCAUCUGUUAAUAAAGAGCAAGGGCCUCUGGUCAUAAGUGACACAUGA